rnacentral:rRNA from 1 species
CCUACGGGUGGCUGCAGUGGGGAAUAUUGGACAAUGGGGGCAACCCUGAUCCAGCCAUGCCGCGUGUGUGAAGAAGGCCCUCGGGUUGUAAAGCACUUUCAGUGAGGAAGAACGCCUGGUGGUUAAUACCCAUCAGGAAAGACAUCACUCACAGAAGAAGCACCGGCUAACUCCGUGCCAGCAGCCGCGGUAAUACGGAGGGUGCGAGCGUUAAUCGGAAUUACUGGGCGUAAAGCGCGCGUAGGUGGCUUGAUAAGCCGGUUGUGAAAGCCCGGGGCUCAACCUGGGAACGGCAUCCGGAACUGUCAAGCUAGAGUGCAGGAGAGGAAGGUAGAAUUCCCGGUGUAGCGGUGAAAUGCGUAGAGAUCGGGAGGAAUACCAGUGGCGAAGGCGGCCUUCUGGACUGACACUGACACUGAGGUGCGAAAGCGUGGGUAGCAAACAGGAUUAGAUACCCCGGUAGUC